UACGGAGGGUGCAAGAGUUGUUCGGAAUCACUGAGCGUAAAGCGCGUGUAGGCGGCUUGGUAAGUCGGAUGUGAAAGCCCGGAGAUCAACUCCGGAACUGCAUUCGAAACUACCUCGCUCGAGUCCCGGAGAGUGCGGUGGAAUUCCCGGUGUAGAGGUGAAAUUCGUAGAUAUCGGGAGGAACACCAGUGGCGAAGGCGGCCACCUGGCCGGUGACUGACGCUGAGACGCCACAGCGUGGUGAUUAAAUAGU
rnacentral:rRNA from 1 species